rnacentral:rRNA from 1 species
GAUGAACGCUGGCGGCGUGCCUAAUACAUGCAAGUCGAGCGAACGGACGAGAAGCUUGCUUCUCUGAUGUUAGCGGCGGACGGGUGAGUAACACGUGGAUAACCUACCUAUAAGACUGGGAUAACUUCGGGAAACCGGAGCUAAUACCGGAUAAUAUUUUGAACCGCAUGGUUCAAAAGUGAAAGACGGUCUUGCUGUCACUUAUAGAUGGAUCCGCGCUGCAUUAGCUAGUUGGUAAGGUAACGGCUUACCAAGGCAACGAUGCAUAGCCGACCUGAGAGGGUGAUCGGCCACACUGGAACUGAGACACGGUCCAGACUCCUACGGGAGGCAGCAGUAGGGAAUCUUCCGCAAUGGGCGAAAGCCUGACGGAGCAACGCCGCGUGAGUGAUGAAGGUCUUCGGAUCGUAAAACUCUGUUAUUAGGGAAGAACAUAUGUGUAAGUAACUGUGCACAUCUUGACGGUACCUAAUCAGAAAGCCACGGCUAACUACGUGCCAGCAGCCGCGGUAAUACGUAGGUGGCAAGCGUUAUCCGGAAUUAUUGGGCGUAAAGCGCGCGUAGGCGGUUUUUUAAGUCUGAUGUGAAAGCCCACGGCUCAACCGUGGAGGGUCAUUGGAAACUGGAAAACUUGAGUGCAGAAGAGGAAAGUGGAAUUCCAUGUGUAGCGGUGAAAUGCGCAGAGAUAUGGAGGAACACCAGUGGCGAAGGCGACUUUCUGGUCUGUAACUGACGCUGAUGUGCGAAAGCGUGGGGAUCAAACAGGAUUAGAUACCCUGGUAGUCCACGCCGUAAACGAUGAGUGCUAAGUGUUAGGGGGUUUCCGCCCCUUAGUGCUGCAGCUAGCGCAUUAAGCACUCCGCCUGGGGAGUACGACCGCAAGGUUGAAACUCAAAGGAAUUGACGGGGACCCGCACAAGCGGUGGAGCAUGUGGUUUAAUUCGAAGCAACGCGAAGAACCUUACCAAAUCUUGACAUCCUUUGACAACUCUAGAGAUAGAGCCUUCCCCUUCGGGGGACAAAGUGACAGGUGGUGCAUGGUUGUCGUCAGCUCGUGUCGUGAGAUGUUAGGUUAAGUCCCGCAACGAGCGCAACCCUUAAGCUUAGUUGCCAUCAUUAAGUUGGGCACUCUAAGUUGACUGCCGGUGACAAACCGGAGGAAGGUGGGGAUGACGUCAAAUCAUCAUGCCCCUUAUGAUUUGGGCUACACACGUGCUACAAUGGACAAUACAAAGGGCAGCGAAACCGCGAGGUCAAGCAAAUCCCAUAAAGUUGUUCUCAGUUCGGAUUGUAGUCUGCAACUCGACUACAUGAAGCUGGAAUCGCUAGUAAUCGUAGAUCAGCAUGCUACGGUGAAUACGUUCCCGGGUCU